CAGUGAGGAGGAAACAGCCUGAUGUGUUGAGGACAGCUACAGUUGACUGACUCUGUGUGUUUGCAUAUCUGUCCUGCCUCUCUGCUCCCAGCCGUUAAGAGGCCAGUGUUGAUCAGUGGCUGUCCAGGCCUUUCAGAGCCACUGACACGCCGGCAGCACAAUCAUCAUGUCUCUGACUCUACUGCUGGCCACCCUGGGGCUCCUUGUUCAGGGUUCAUCAGGAGAAAUCAUCCUGACUCAGUCUCCUGGAUCUCAGUCUGUUGUUCUGGGACAGACUAUCUCUAUCAGAUGUAAAACAAGUUCAGGUGUUGGUAGUGACCUCCACUGGUACCUUCAGAAACCUGGAGAAACUCCUAAACUCCUGAUAUAUAAUGAUGUAACCCGUUACUCCGGCGUUUCAGACCGUUUUACUGGAAGUAAAUCUAGUAACACUGACUUCACUCUGACCAUCAGUAGAGUUCAGGCUGAAGAUUCAGGAGUUUACUACUGUCAGCAGAGUGAGGGCUGGCCAUUCACACAGUGAUACAACGUCGUACAAAAACCUCCCUCAGCUGCAGAGGAACUGAUCUGACUCAACAGCUGCACUGACACUAAAACUGUAGAGGUCUGACUAAAGCAGAUUCUCAAGCUGUAGGAAACAUUCACUGAUAGAAAUACUGUGUUUAAUUUAUUGAUAAAGAUAUUGGAUACUUUACUCAUUCAAAUUACAGAGUCAGGAGUCUGUAUUAACUGAGUAGGUAUCUGUUAUUGGAAACACCAAACUCAGUUCAAAAUGAAAGACAAUUCAACUGGAAUUAAAAUGUAAUUUAAAGAAUUUGUUAAAGAUAACAUUGUUAUGAUCAAAUUCCAAAUCCUAAGAAAUUGUUGAAAUUUGUGAGUUUAACUAAAUACGCCCAUCAAAGUAAAACAAAACUCACUAGUAUUGCUAAAAACUUUUAUGUUGUACGGUUAUGUUGUGAAUCAGUUUAUCCAAUCAUAUUGUUGUAAAAUCAAUACUAAGCAAUGACAAAGUCCCUGUGACCUAAACCAGUAAUGAAAUGAGUCAAUGUGGAUUUCAUGGAUCAGCUG